ACUAAGCAGGACUCAGAGGGGUUCGCAGAGCCUGAAGUGACAAUCAGAGAACCUGCAUGGGUCUGCGCUGGGUCCUUUGCAUAUCCGUUAUGGUUGUGUAUGUAGCUUGCUGUUUUUGCGGGACUCCUAACAGUGGGAGUGCGGUGUCUCUGCUCUUGGCUUCGUUUUCUUCCUACUGGGUUAUCUGGUCCAGCUUUAAAAUGAAGGUACCUUAUAAAUUUGUCAAUUGGACAAUAACAGCAUGCUUUGUGGCAGAGAUGCAUCACAACGAGCAACAUCUGAUUUAGUACAGUGGAUCAGUGCUAGAAGAAUCUAUUCAUAAUCAAUGUGAGAAGAAUCUGCAUGAAUCCUCAACAAAGGAUCAUUCUUCCUUGCCAAUUUGGGCAUGCAGAACUUCGAUUUAUUUUGCUACACUGGUUCUUGGAAGACCUGUGAUUUGACGUUGUGUCCAUGAUGAAGAAGAAGAAAAAAAUUGUAGAACUAAGAGGUCAUUGUUCUGAAUUCUAAAUAUAAGCUUUAAGAAAUAAAGAAUAAGCAAAAAUAA